GACGGAGGAUGCAAGCGUUAUCCGGAAUGAUUGGGCGUAAAGCGUCCGCAGGUGGCAGUUCAAGUCUGCUGUCAAAGACCGGGGCUUAACUUCGGAAAGGCAGUGGAAACUGAACAGCUAGAGUAUGGUAGGGGCAGAGGGAAUUCCUGGUGUAGCGGUGAAAUGCGUAGAGAUCAGGAAGAACACCGGUGGCGAAGGCGCUCUGCUAGGCCGCAACUGACACUGAGGGACGAAAGCUAGGGGAGCGAAUGGG
rnacentral:rRNA from 1 species